GAGAGUCACAGGUUCUGUGAUCGCGUCCAGGAUGCAUACACCUUGCGCUGCUGUCCACAGGUCCAUGGUGUGGUGAAUGAUACAAUAGCAUUUGUGAAGAACAUCAUUACCACAGAACUGAACAGCGCAACAGAUAAUCCUGUAUCUUUUGAUUGUAUACUAACCUGCAAUUAUAGAAUUGCAGCUGGUAAUUUUAGGAUCUACUGAAACAAUCAUUUUGUGUAGCUUCUCAGUUCCAUUGCUCCAUUUCACAGAGUAAAUGAAUCAGUACCUGAGGCUCAGAGGUUAACUGACUUUCUCCAGGUCAGAGCUGGUAAGUGGCAGAGGUGACCUGUGAACUUACUCUCAGGUUCCAAGUCUAACAUGCUGU
rnacentral:lncRNA from 10 species